rnacentral:rRNA from 1 species
GAUGAACGCUAGCGGCAGGCUUAACACAUGCAAGUCGCGGGCGAGCAUGUUACUUGGCGUUGUCCACGUAAAUUAGAUGGCGGACCCGGCCGGCACGGGUGGAGUAUCGCGUAUCCAACCUUACCCAUAUCCACGGGAUAGCCUGCCGAAAGGCAGAUUAAUACCGUAUGUUGUCGCACGCUGGCAUCAAAAUGCGACGAAAGGCUUAGCGGAUAUGGAUGGGGAUGCGUCCGAUUAGCUUGACGGCGGGGUAACGGCCCACCGUGGCGACGAUCGGUAGGGGUUCGUGAGAGGAAGGUCCCCACAUUGGAACUGAGACACGGUCCAAACUCCUACGGGAGGCAGCAGUGAGGAAUAUUGGUCAAUGGGCGUAAGCCUGAACCAGCCAAGUAGCGUGCAGGACGACGGCCCUAUGGGUUGUAAACUGCUUUUAUG